CCUACGGGGGGCAGCAGUGGGGAAUAUUGCACAAUGGGCGAAAGCCUGAUGCAGCAACGCCGCGUGAGCGAUGAAGGCCUUCGGGUCGUUAAGCUCUGUCCUCCAGGAAGAUAAUGCCGGUACUUGAGGAGGAAGCCCCGGCUAACUACGUGCCAGCAGCCGCGGUAAUACGUAGGGGGCUAGCGUUAUCCGGAAUUACUGGGCGUAAAGGGUGCGUAGGUGGUUUCUUAAGUCAGAGGUGAAAGGCUACGGCUCAACCGUAGUAAGCCGUUUAAACUGGGAAACUUGAGUGGAGGAGAGGAGAGUGGAAUUCCUGGUGUAGCGGUGAAAGGCGUAGAUAUUAGGAGGAACACCAGUUGCGAAGGCGGCUCGCUGGACUGUAACUGACACUGAGGCACGAAAGCGUGGGUAGCAAACAGGAUUAGAUACCCCUGUAGUC
rnacentral:rRNA from 1 species